GAGUUUGAAUCAUGGCUCAGAUUGAACGCUGGCGGCAGGCCUAACACAUGCAAGUCGAGCGGUAGCACAGAGAGCUUGCUCUCGGGUGACGAGCGGCGGACGGGUGAGUAAUGUCUGGGAAACUGCCUGAUGGAGGGGGAUAACUACUGGAAACGGUAGCUAAUACCGCAUAAUGUCGCAAGACCAAAGUGGGGGACCUUCGGGCCUCAUGCCAUCAGAUGUGCCCAGAUGGGAUUAGCUAGUAGGUGGGGUAACGGCUCACCUAGGCGACGAUCCCUAGCUGGUCUGAGAGGAUGACCAGCCACACUGGAACUGAGACACGGUCCAGACUCCUACGGGAGGCAGCAGUGGGGAAUAUUGCACAAUGGGCGCAAGCCUGAUGCAGCCAUGCCGCGUGUGUGAAGAAGGCCUUCGGGUUGUAAAGCACUUUCAGCGGGGAGGAAGGCGUUAAGGUUAAUAACCUUGGCGAUUGACGUUACCCGCAGAAGAAGCACCGGCUAACUCCGUGCCAGCAGCCGCGGUAAUACGGAGGGUGCAAGCGUUAAUCGGAAUUACUGGGCGUAAAGCGCACGCAGGCGGUCUGUCAAGUCGGAUGUGAAAUCCCCGGGCUCAACCUGGGAACUGCAUUCGAAACUGGCAGGCUAGAGUCUUGUAGAGGGGGGUAGAAUUCCAGGUGUAGCGGUGAAAUGCGUAGAGAUCUGGAGGAAUACCGGUGGCGAAGGCGGCCCCCUGGACAAAGACUGACGCUCAGGUGCGAAAGCGUGGGGAGCAAACAGGAUUAGAUACCCUGGUAGUCCACGCCGUAAACGAUGUCGAUUUGGAGGUUGUGCCCUUGAGGCGUGGCUUCCGGAGCUAACGCGUUAAAUCGACCGCCUGGGGAGUACGGCCGCAAGGUUAAAACUCAAAUGAAUUGACGGGGGCCCGCACAAGCGGUGGAGCAUGUGGUUUAAUUCGAUGCAACGCGAAGAACCUUACCUGGUCUUGACAUCCACAGAACUUUCCAGAGAUGCUUUGGUGCCUUCGGGAACUGUGAGACAGGUGCUGCAUGGCUGUCGUCAGCUCGUGUUGUGAAAUGUUGGGUUAAGUCCCGCAACGAGCGCAACCCUUAUCCUUUGUUGCCAGCGGUUMGGCCGGGAACUCAAAGGAGACUGCCAGUGAUAAACUGGAGGAAGGUGGGGAUGACGUCAAGUCAUCAUGGCCCUUACGACCAGGGCUACACACGUGCUACAAUGGCAUAUACAAAGAGAAGCGACCUCGCGAGAGCAAGCGGACCUCAUAAAGUAUGUCGUAGUCCGGAUUGGAGUCUGCAACUCGACUCCAUGAAGUCGGAAUCGCUAGUAAUCGUAGAUCAGAAUGCUACGGUGAAUACGUUCCCGGGCCUUGUACACACCGCCCGUCACACCAUGGGAGUGGGUUGCAAAAGAAGUAGGUAGCUUAACCUUCGGGAGGGCGCUUACCACUUUGUGAUUCAUGACUGGGGUGAAGUCGUAACAAGGUAACCGUA
rnacentral:rRNA from 1 species